UCCUUUGUUUCUAUGUUUCA
rnacentral:miRNA from 1 species